CGUUGCCAGAUUUCCCGGAGGCUUCUAAAUUUCAUGUAACCCAGCUAACAGAACUUCUAAGAAAGACUGAUGGUAAAGAUUCCAUUUCAGUGUUCCUAAGGAACAUGCUUCUUGGAUGGUAUAAUGCAGACGGGAUUUUAAUGAACACGGUGGAGGAGAUUGACAAGCUCGGAUUGAUGUAUUUCAGAAAAAAAAUUGGCCGACCAGUUUGGCCAAUUGGUCCAGCUCUAUUAUCCGCAAGAACCAGAGCUCGAGCAGGAAAAGAAACAGGAAUCGCGCCAGAGGUAUGUAAAAAAUGGCUUGAUACAAAACCGUUGAAUUCUGUUCUAUACAUAUCUUUUGGUUCGCAGAACACGGUAUCAGCAUCAAAUAUUAUGCAAUUAGCAAUGGCAUUGGAGGCUAGUGGCAAAAAUUUUAUUUGGGUUGUCAGACCGCCAUUCGGCUUCGACAUAAACUCGGAAUUUAAAGCAAAAGAAUGGUUGCCCGAAGGUUAUGAAGAAAGAAUAAAAGAUUCAGGGAGAGGGUUACUAGUGCAAAAAUGGGCACCCCAGGUGGAAAUUCUGUCACAUAGGUCUGUUUCUGCAUUUUUGAGUCAUUGUGGAUG
rnacentral:misc_RNA from 1 species